AUGCUUGCACACGUUCCGCGCAGAUUGUAUGUGAAAGAAAUCCGUCCACACGCAACACUGAGUGAGCCACCAGUUGCUUGAAGCUUGCCGGCACGAGAGGUGAUCGCGCUGUAAUCAGUGCUAGAUAUACCGACAACAACGCCACAUCCCUCGCUAUAUUGGCCGUUUACUGCAUGUGCGCGCCCAUCUAAGGCGCGCGCUAGAAGGAUGCGCUGCUGUGGGUCCACGGCAGUAGCUUCUGCACGUCGCAUUGAAAACAGGGCAAUAUCAAAAUAUUCAAUGUUAUGGAGAAAUCUACCAAACCGUAUCAGGGCGUAAUCGUCGGCUCUAAUAUCCCACCGAUUUUCAGGCACACCACUUACGUCAUCCAGUGCGUGCUGAUACUGCCCGGGGCUGCUGACUGAUGAUAUGCACACUUGAGCUGAGUAUGUGACAUCAAUAGUACUAUUACGGAGCACCUGUGCACUUCCGUAAUUCGAUUUUCCAUGCGACAGUUCACCCGCCACGGCUUCUGCAAGUGCAUAUACGCUAGGAUGAUCAAAUACAACCGUCGACGGGAGCUGCACAGCGAAUUCAUCGUUCAGUCUGCUUCGCAAUUCAACGGCGCCGAGUGAGUCAAGACCCGCAUCCAACAGUGGCUCCUUUGCAUCCAAUGGUCUACCAACCGCAUCAUUCACUAUACUCGCUACACGUCCCGCAAUUUCGUCGCCGUGGAUCACGCAUGAUGGUACGCCACGUUCUCCGGCUGAUAUCUUGAUCUUGAGUUGUGUGCUAUUUUGAUCGACGUAUGGUGCAUUUGGCGGGGAAACCGCACUGUGUGAUGUAGGUACACUCCAUGCAUGUAAGCCGGUUGCACGCAGUGGGCAAACGGCGUAGAUUGAGAACAUAUUUGGAGGUUGAAUGAGAGUGCGUAGCGUUCUCAGCGCAGUGUGUGGGUCAAUCACUUCUAUCCCUAGAGAUCCAAAGUUUCUGGGUGUACCCACUGCAGAACGCACAGCCAUGCCAUAGGAUCCACCCCAGGGUCCCCACUGGAGACUCAUGCACCGCCAUCCCAUCGUCGUGCCGAGUUGAGCGAGUGUGUCGAGCAGUGCGUUAGCACCUGCAUAGUUAGUUUGACCCGGCGAGCCGAGCAAUGCAGCUAUGGACGAGAAGAAAACAUGUGUCAAAGACAUUUGAGGGAGAUUUUCAUGACACACCGCUUGUGCACCUUGUGUUUUGUUUGCAAACGCAAUCGAGACUGUGGAAAACGUUUGCUUCAUUAGGAUUGAAUCUUUGAGAACACCGCUCAUGUGCAAUACCCGACCGACAUUUCGCACACUACACGAAACCAAGCGUUCUGUUUCGCUUCUGACACAAAGGUUUACACGUUGGAUGGUAAGCAGGGAUGUAAAUUUUGCCGGCGCGAUAUGUUUUCCUCUUCCGGAACGCCCCACGAGUACGAAGGGUCUAUCACAGAUGGAUGCAUUCCAUUCAUAGAUAAGCGCUCCGAUGCCACCGACACCACCGGUGUAAAUGUCGCUGCACGGGUGUAGAAGCGCAUUAGAGUCGCACUGUGCGAUGUGCUUUGCCAUCGCUCGACGUGGGUCUCGCCACAACAUUUUUGCGUGUAAAUUCGGACAGACCUUCGAUAACGUCGGCGUGCGGACAUGGCGAUUCGAUAUUGAUUUGGCAUGCACCUCGUUCGAAUCAGAAUUUGAAUGAAGAAAGUCGGUUGCUUUUGCGUGCACAAUACUUGAUGCGCCCAAAUCAACGCACACUAAACGCUGUGACAUCUCAUGUGCGCCACUCCUGAAGAUACCCCACAUGGCACCAGCGACCGGAAUACAUCGACCGAUAGAGCUCUGCGUGUCAGCACAUAGGCGUGGACAGGCUGACACCAGCUCUGUUGCUGUCGUGCGAAUCACGCAUAGAUUGGAACUUGCAUGUAAACUCUGCACGGCAAGAGAAGCCACGCGUGAUGCACUUUGCCUCCCCGCAGCUAAAUGCGAGUAUACGUUCGUGACACCUUCUGUACGGAGAAGCGGUCCUCUGUAUGUGUUCUCGGUUUUCCACGUGGCGCGAUAUAUCAUAUCGAUGGCGUGUCUUCCUUGCCUCCCACCAUAAUAGCGCUCUGAUCCCAUCGCUGCAGGCUCUGAGUGAGACGCAACCUUUUUGCCCAGUAGUUCGUGCAUCGCAAGUUGAUUUUCCGUCGCUUGCUGUGCUAUAUGGUCACUCUGCAUCUUUUGCGGCGAGAAGCGUGAUAGUGCGUGGUCUCGGGACCGUGCCAACGAAGUUUGGUGUGUGCAGAUUUCGAGACUCACUGGCAAGUGCAAUUCAAAGCUAUCAUCACUGAAAGUAUUUAGCCUGAGAGCUGAUAAGCUCUGCACGUGCGCAUCGAGCUCUGCGGCAAACGACUGAUCUAGUGUUUGCACCUUUUUACUAUGAACUUUGAAGUGCAAAUCAAGGCUGGAUUUGGAGACGUUUGCGUAAUACACUUUCGGCGAUGGAGUUCGUUGCGUGAGCAUGGUCUGCACUACUUUACAAGACGUGUGCCCUGCUCGUUGUGACGAUACGGAAAUACUGCCGGUAGUUUGCGAUAUUUUGAACGAUAAUGCAUCGUUGCGCCAAGUAUCCAACAAACAGGCAGCAUGUAUUUGCGUGCGACGCACCACGUUAACAGUCAUUGUGUGGAGUUGCUUUACACAAGUGAGGGUCAGCUCCAGAAAGCUGGUAGCGGGGAGAACCAAGCGGCCACGAACGCAGUGAUCGCGAUCUAUAUGUCGUGUUUUUAAUGGUGGGAGUUGAAUCCGUAGGCAUUCGCUCGUCUCGACUGCGUGCACGAGCCGCAGGCCAAAGGCAGCAUGUGAUAUCCAACACUCGAUGCUGUGUUGCAUGACAGAAGCAUCUGGCAAGUAUUUCAUCACGUAAUCGCGUCGAACAGAUACGUGUGCGUUCGUUCCUUGAAAUGCAAACGCGCUCACUCCUCGGUUUACGGCGUGUGCAUCACAUUGCCACGCACUUUGCGUUGCCUGGCGUGGAAGAGCGAUUCCGCAUCGCUCAGCCGUAUCUUGAUUCAGAAUACUCUGAAUGUGGGUGCUGAGCUGGCAUAGGUGCACGAGCGCAGGAGUGUUCAAGCGAAAUAUGCAAUCAACAAUGCCACACAGACCCAUACCGCCCGAAGCUGGCUCGGUGUGUCCGCAGCGAGUCUUCAUUGCUGAAAAAGUAACGACUGGCAAUCUUUUGAGGCUGCUAAGUACGGUGCGCGCUGCGCCAACUUCUAUAGGAUCCCCCAGAGACGUGCCAGUACCAUGAAGCUCUAUACCACCAGAAGAGCUGUUAUCAUUACCAGACUGGAGCAUGGUGUGCAAAAUCACGCUCUGCUGCGAUGGGCCAUGGGGGGCUGUGAGAGAGCUUGAGCGUCCAUCUUGGUUGACAGAAGAUGCAGAAGCGUAAAACAUGCAGUAGUCGUCGCGCACGCCGUCGCUGUGCGGUGUCAAGAGCAGCAACGUUGAUCCUUCUCCUCGAACGUAGCCGUUUGCAGCCAUGUCCAGAGUCUUACAUCGCCCAUCAUCUGCCAGCAUCCCCGCAGUUCUAAAAACAAUAGUCGUCGUCGGGUUCAGGGUGAUGUUCACGCCGCAACAUAUCAUGCUGUCGCAUUCUCCCGUGAGCACUGCGUUACGCGCUACAUGUGAUCCAACUAAAGACGACGAGCACGCUGUGUCGAUGCUUGCACACGUUCCGCGCAGAUUGUAUGUGAAAGAAAUCCGUCCACACGCAACACUGAGUGAGCCACCAGUUGCUUGAAGCUUGCCGGCACGAGAGGUGAUCGCGCUGUAAUCAGUGCUAGAUAUACCGACAACAACGCCACAUCCCUCGCUAUAUUGGCCGUUUACUGCAUGUGCGCGCCCAUCUAAGGCGCGCGCUAGAAGGAUGCGCUGCUGUGGGUCCACGGCAGUAGCUUCUGCACGUCGCAUUGAAAACAGGGCAAUAUCAAAAUAUUCAAUGUUAUGGAGAAAUCUACCAAACCGUAUCAGGGCGUAAUCGUCGGCUCUAAUAUCCCACCGAUUUUCAGGCACACCACUUACGUCAUCCAGUGCGUGCUGAUACUGCCCGGGGCUGCUGACUGAUGAUAUGCACACUUGAGCUGAGUACGUGACAUCAAUAGUACUAUUACGGAGCACCUGUGCACUUCCGUAAUUCGAUUUUCCAUGCGACAGUUCACCCGCCACGGCUUCUGCAAGUGCAUAUACGCUAGGAUGAUCAAAUACAACCGUCGACGGGAGCUGCACAGCGAAUUCAUCGUUCAGUCUGCUUCGCAAUUCAACGGCGCCGAGUGAGUCAAGACCCGCAUCCAACAGUGGCUCCUUUGCAUCCAAUGGUCUACCAACCGCAUCAUUCACUAUACUCGCUACACGUCCCGCAAUUUCGUCGCCGUGGAUCACGCAUGAUGGUACGCCACGUUCUCCGGCUGAUAUCUUGAUCUUGAGUUGUGUGCUAUUUUGAUCGACGUAUGGUGCAUUUGGCGGGGAAACCGCACUGUGUGAUGUAGAUACACUCCAUGCAUGUAAGCCGGUUGCACGCAGUGGGCAAACGGCGUAGAUUGAGAACAUAUUUGGAGGUUGAAUGAGAGUGCGUAGCGUUCUCAGCGCAGUGUGUGGGUCAAUCACUUCUAUCCCUAGAGAUCCAAAGUUUCUGGGUGUACCCACUGCAGAACGCACAGCCAUGCCAUAGGAUCCACCCCAGGGUCCCCACUGGAGACUCAUGCACCGCCAUCCCAUCGUCGUGCCGAGUUGAGCGAGUGUGUCGAGCAGUGCGUUAGCACCUGCAUAGUUAGUUUGACCCGGCGAGCCGAGCAAUGCAGCUAUGGACGAGAAGAAAACAUGUGUCAAAGACAUUUGAGGGAGAUUUUCAUGACACACCGCUUGUGCACCUUGUGUUUUGUUUGCAAACGCAAUCGAGACUGUGGAAAACGUUUGCUUCAUUAGGAUUGAAUCUUUGAGAACACCGCUCAUGUGCAAUACCCGACCGACAUUUCGCACACUACACGAAACCAAGCGUUCUGUUUCGCUUCUGACACAAAGGUUUACACGUUGGAUGGUAAGCAGGGAUGUAAAUUUUGCCGGCGCGAUAUGUUUUCCUCUUCCGGAACGCCCCACGAGUACGAAGGGUCUAUCACAGAUGGAUGCAUUCCAUUCAUAGAUAAGCGCUCCGAUGCCACCGACACCACCGGUGUAAAUGUCGCUGCACGGGUGUAGAAGCGCAUUAGAGUCGCACUGUGCGAUGUGCUUUGCCAUCGCUCGACGUGGGUCUCGCCACAACAUUUUUGCGUGUAAAUUCGGACAGACCUUCGAUAACGUCGGCGUGCGGACAUGGCGAUUCGAUAUUGAUUUGGCAUGCACCUCGUUCGAAUCAGAAUUUGAAUGAAGAAAGUCGGUUGCUUUUGCGUGCACAAUACUUGAUGCGCCCAAAUCAACGCACACUAAACGCUGUGACAUCUCAUGUGCGCCACUCCUGAAGAUACCCCACAUGGCACCAGCGACCGGAAUACAUCGACCGAUAGAGCUCUGCGUGUCAGCACAUAGGCGUGGACAGGCUGACACCAGCUCUGUUGCUGUCGUGCGAAUCACGCAUAGAUUGGAACUUGCAUGUAAACUCUGCACGGCAAGAGAAGCCACGCGUGAUGCACUUUGCCUCCCCGCAGCUAAAUGCGAGUAUACGUUCGUGACACCUUCUGUACGGAGAAGCGGUCCUCUGUAUGUGUUCUCGGUUUUCCACGUGGCGCGAUAUAUCAUAUCGAUGGCGUGUCUUCCUUGCCUCCCACCAUAAUAGCGCUCUGAUCCCAUCGCUGCAGGCUCUGAGUGAGACGCAACCUUUUUGCCCAGUAGUUCGUGCAUCGCAAGUUGAUUUUCCGUCGCUUGCUGUGCUAUAUGGUCACUCUGCAUCUUUUGCGGCGAGAAGCGUGAUAGUGCGUGGUCUCGGGACCGUGCCAACGAAGUUUGGUGUGUGCAGAUUUCGAGACUCACUGGCAAGUGCAAUUCAAAGCUAUCAUCACUGAAAGUAUUUAGCCUGAGAGCUGAUAAGCUCUGCACGUGCGCAUCGAGCUCUGCGGCAAACGACUGAUCUAGUGUUUGCACCUUUUUACUAUGAACUUUGAAGUGCAAAUCAAGGCUGGAUUUGGAGACGUUUGCGUAAUACACUUUCGGCGAUGGAGUUCGUUGCGUGAGCAUGGUCUGCACUACUUUACAAGACGUGUGCCCUGCUCGUUGUGACGAUACGGAAAUACUGCCGGUAGUUUGCGAUAUUUUGAACGAUAAUGCAUCGUUGCGCCAAGUAUCCAACAAACAGGCAGCAUGUAUUUGCGUGCGACGCACCACGUUAACAGUCAUUGUGUGGAGUUGCUUUACACAAGUGAGGGUCAGCUCCAGAAAGCUGGUAGCGGGGAGAACCAAGCGGCCACGAACGCAGUGAUCGCGAUCUAUAUGUCGUGUUUUUAAUGGUGGGAGUUGAAUCCGUAGGCAUUCGCUCGUCUCGACUGCGUGCACGAGCCGCAGGCCAAAGGCAGCAUGUGAUAUCCAACACUCGAUGCUGUGUUGCAUGACAGAAGCAUCUGGCAAGGAUUUCAUCACGUAAUCGCGUCGAACAGAUACGUGUGCGUUCGUUCCUUGAAAUGCAAACGCGCUCACUCCUCGGUUUACGGCGUGUGCAUCACAUUGCCACGCACUUUGCGUUGCCUGGCGUGGAAGAGCGAUUCCGCAUCGCUCAGCCGUAUCUUGAUUCAGAAUACUCUGAAUGUGGGUGCUGAGCUGGCAUAGGUGCACGAGCGCAGGAGUGUUCAAGCGAAAUAUGCAAUCAACAAUGCCACACAGACCCAUACCGCCCGAAGCUGGCUCGGUGUGUCCGCAGCGAGUCUUCAUUGCUGAAAAAGUAACGACUGGCAAUCUUUUGAGGCUGCUAAGUACGGUGCGCGCUGCGCCAACUUCUAUAGGAUCCCCCAGAGACGUGCCAGUACCAUGAAGCUCUAUACCACCAGAAGAGCUGUUAUCAUUACCAGACUGGAGCAUGGUGUGCAAAAUCACGCUCUGCUGCGAUGGGCCAUGGGGGGCUGUGAGAGAGCUUGAGCGUCCAUCUUGGUUGACAGAAGAUGCAGAAGCGUAAAACAUGCAGUAGUCGUCGCGCACGCCGUCGCUGUGCGGUGUCAAGAGCAGCAACGUUGAUCCUUCUCCUCGAACGUAGCCGUUUGCAGCCAUGUCCAGAGUCUUACAUCGCCCAUCAUCUGCCAGCAUCCCCGCAGUUCUAAAAACAAUAGUCGUCGUCGGGUUCAGGGUGAUGUUCACGCCGCAACAUAUCAUGCUGUCGCAUUCUCCCGUGAGCACUGCGUUACGCGCUACAUGUGAUCCAACUAAAGACGACGAGCACGCUGUGUCGAUGCUUGCACACGUUCCGCGCAGAUUGUAUGUGAAAGAAAUCCGUCCACACGCAACACUGAGUGAGCCACCAGUUGCUUGAAGCUUGCCGGCACGAGAGGUGAUCGCGCUGUAAUCAGUGCUAGAUAUACCGACAACAACGCCACAUCCCUCGCUAUAUUGGCCGUUUACUGCAUGUGCGCGCCCAUCUAAGGCGCGCG
rnacentral:lncRNA from 1 species